UACGGAAGGCAGCAGUGGGGAAUAUUGCACAAUGGGCGCAAGCCUGAUGCAGCCAUGCCGCGUGUAUGAAGAAGGCCUUCGGGUUGUAAAGUACUUUCAGUCGUGAGGAAGGUGUUAAGGUUAAUAACCUUAGCAAUUGACGUUAGCGACAGAAGAAGCACCGGCUAACUCCGUGCCAGCAGCCGCGGUAAUACGGAGGGUGCGAGCGUUAAUCGGAAUUACUGGGCGUAAAGGGCACGCAGGCGGUUAAUUAAGUUGGAUGUGAAAUCCCCGGGCUUAACCUGGGAAUGGCAUUCAAGACUGGUUAGCUAGAGUCUUGUAGAGGGGGUAGAAUUCCAUGUGUAGCGGUGAAAUGCGUAGAGAUGUGGAGGAAUACCGGGUGGCGAAGGCGGCCCCUGGGACAAGACUGACGCUCAUGUGCGAAAGCGUGGGGAGCAAACGAGGAUUAGAUACC
rnacentral:rRNA from 1 species